rnacentral:rRNA from 1 species
GACGAACGCUGGCGGCGUGCCUAACACAUGCAAGUCAACUUGACUGAAGGAGCAAUCUGACAGUAGAGUGGCGCAAGGGUGCGUAACGCGUAAGUAACUUGCCCCAAGGUAAGGAAUAACGUCGAGAAAUCGGCGCUAAUACCUCAUAAUGCAGCGGAUCCGCAUGGAUAUGUUGUUAAAGGUUUACCGCCUUGGGAUAGGCUUGCGUCUGAUUAGCUAGUUGGUGUGGUAACGGCACACCAAGGCUACGAUCAGUAACUGGUCUGAGAGGAUGAUCAGUCACACUGGAACUGAGACACGGUCCAGACUCCUACGGGAGGCAGCAGUGAGGAAUAUUGGGCAAUGCUCGAAAGAGUGACCCAGCAACGCCGCGUGGAGGAUGAAGGUAUUCUAUAUCGUAAACUCCUGUGAGAGCAGACGAAAGAACAGAUUAUUAAUCUGGAUGACUGUAUGCUCAGAGGAAGCCCGGCUAACUACG